CCUGGCGGCCGUAGCGCGGUGGUCCCACCUGACCCCAUGCCGAACUCAGAAGUGAAACGCCGUAGCGCCGAUGGUAGUGUGGGGUCUCCCCAUGUGAGAGUAGGGAACUGCCAGGU
rnacentral:rRNA from 2 species